AUACGGAGGGAGCGAGCGUUAAUCGGAAUUACUGGGCGUAAAGGGUCCGUAGGCGGCCAUGUAAGUCCUGGGUGAAAGCCCCCGGCUCAACCGGGGAAUUGCCUAGGAAACUGCGUGGCUUGAGUUCGGUAGAGGGAGAUGGAAUUCCGGGUGUAGCGGUGAAAUGCGUAGAUAUCCGGAGGAACACCAGUGGCGAAGGCGACUUCCUGGGCCAAUACUGACGCUGAGGUGCGAAAGCGUGGGGAGCAAACAGGAGUAGAAACCCCAGUAGUCC
rnacentral:rRNA from 1 species